rnacentral:rRNA from 1 species
UACGAAGGGGGCUAGCGUUGCUCGGAAUCACUGGGCGUAAAGCGCACGUAGGCGGACUCUUAAGUCGGUGGUGAAAUCCUGGAGCUCAACUCCAGAACUGCCUUCGAUACUGAGAGUCUCGAGUCCGGGAGAGGUGAGUGGAACUGCGAAGUGUAGAGGUGAAAUUCGUAGAUAUUCGCAAGAACACCAGUGGCGAAGGCGGCUCACUGGCCCGGUACUGACGCUGAGGUGCGAAAGCGUGGGGAGCAAACAGG